rnacentral:rRNA from 1 species
CAAAUCAGGUAGGACUACCCG